rnacentral:rRNA from 1 species
UACGUAGGGGGCGAGCGUUGUCCGGAUUUAUUGGGCGUAAAGAGCUCGUAGGCGGUUCGGUAAGUCGGAUGUGAAAACUCCAGGCUCAACUUGGAGACGCCAUUCGAUACUGCGAUGACUUGAGUCCGGUAGGGGAGUGUGGAAUUCCUGGUGUAGCGGUGAAAUGCGCAGAUAUCAGGAGGAACACCGGCGGCGAAGGCGGCACUCUGGGCCGGUACUGACGCUGAGGAGCGAAAGCGUGGGUAGCAAACAGG